GAUGAACGCUGGCGGCGUGCCUAAUACAUGCAAGUCGAGCGAACGGACAAGAAGCUUGCUUCUCUGAUGUUAGCGGCGGACGGGUGAGUAACACGUGGAUAACCUACCUAUAAGACUGGGAUAACUUCGGGAAACCGGAGCUAAUACCGGAUAAUAUUUUGAACCGCAUGGUUCAAAAGUGAAAGACGGUCUUGCUGUCACUUAUAGAUGGAUCCGCGCUGCAUUAGCUAGUUGGUAAGGUAACGGCUUACCAAGGCAACGAUGCAUAGCCGACCUGAGAGGGUGAUCGGCCACACUGGAACUGAGACACGGUCCAGACUCCUACGGGAGGCAGCAGUAGGGAAUCCUCCGCAAUGGGCGAAAGCCUGACGGAGCAACGCCGCGUGAGUGAUGAAGGUCUUCGGAUCGUAAAACUCUGUUAUUAGGGAAGAACAUAUGUGUAAGUAACUGUGCACAUCUUGACGGUACCUAAUCAGAAAGCCACGGCUAACUACGUG
rnacentral:rRNA from 1 species